GGAAGAGUGGUGUACAAGGUGUUGCACGCUAGUCUGAAAAACUAGAGGUACAGGUUCAAUUCCUGUCUGUUCCACAA
rnacentral:tRNA from 1 species